AAUGAACGCUGGCGGCGUGCUUAAUCCAUGCAAGUCGACCGAACAGACGGGGCGUUUGCCCCUUUGACGUUUGGGGCGGCGGGGGGGGUACCACGUGGAUACCCGCCUUAUAAGCUUGGGAAAACUUCGGGAACCCGGGGCUAAUACGGGAUAAUAUAUUGAACCGCUUGGUCCAAUAGUGAAUGCGGGUUUUCCUGCAACUUGUAGUGGAAUCCCCCCCCAAUAGGCAGGUUGGGCAGGUAACGGCUUACCAAGGCACGUCUGCGUGGCCGACCUAGGAGGGUUGUCGGCCACACUAGAACCGAGACACGGUCCAGACUCCCACGGGAGGCAGCAGUAGGGAAUCUUCCGCAAUGGGCGAAAGCCUGACGGAGCAACGCCGCGUGAGGGAUGAAGGUCUUCGGAUCGUAAAACUCUGUUAUUAGGGAAGAACAAAUGUGUAAGUAACUAUGCACGUCUUGACGUUACCUAAUCAGAAAGCCACGGCUAACUACGUG
rnacentral:rRNA from 1 species